UACGUAGGGUGCGAGCGUUAAUCGGAAUUACUGGGCGUAAAGCGUGCGCAGGCGGUUCGUUAUGUCUGAUGUGAAAGCCCUGGGCUCAACCUGGGAAUGGCAGUGGAUACUGGAAAGCUAGAGUGCGGUAGAGGGUAGUGGAAUUCCCGGUGUAGCAGUGAAAUGCGUAGAGAUCGGGAGGAACACCAGUGGCGAAGGCGGCUACCUGGACCAGCACUGACACUGAGGCACGAAAGCGUGGGGAGCAAACAGG
rnacentral:rRNA from 1 species